rnacentral:rRNA from 1 species
AUGGCUGGGACAAGUCAUAAGUCAAAACAGGAUGGACCUGCUGGAUCAAGGCAUGAUGACCUUGCAUCUCAUGGGAAUGAAGAGCAUCGAACACAGCCACGGAGCAGUGCACCAAUAACUGGGUACAAGCGUAUGAGAACUAAAGCAGUUGCUACAAGGGGGAAGCACCCUGAUGAUAUUAUUAGUAACGAGAAUAGUAACGAGAGCCAAGCUGCAGAUGCUGGGAAUAAAAAUGUCGAAUGUGCUGACGUCGACCAACCUCCAAAAGCAAAACGCCAGAAGACGGGAGGAACUGAGGGUCGUAGGAACAGGGCAUCCCCUGCAAGGCUCUUCAAGUUGAACAAGGACUUGGUUCCUGACCAAAAGGGUGUCAUCAUCAGAAAAGAAUUUGGUGGCAUUCUGGACCUUGCAGCGAGUAGCAUGCCCGGAGAUUUUAGCCAGUGGAUAAUGAAGCAUUACGACCCGGAGAUUUCGCAGAUAGUCAUUCUAGAAAGGGGGAAGAUUCCUGUAGAUGCCGCAAGUGUCCGUAGGAUAUGGGGUUUGCCCAACAGGGGCAGGAAGCUGUUGUACCUAGACUCUCUAGAUGUUGAUGAGCCAAUCCCAAACUUGGUACCAAGGGUUUCAGUUUGA